UAACAGGAUUAGAUACCCUGGUAGUCACGCCGUAAACGAUGUCUACUCGGAGUUUGGUGUCUUGAACACUGGGCUCUCAAGCUAACGCAUUAAGUAGACCGCCUGGGGAGUACGGCCGCAAGGUUAAAACUCAAAUGAAUUGACGGGGGCCCGCACAAGCGGUGGAGCAUGUGGUUUAAUUCGGUGCAACGCGAAGAACCUUACCUACUCUUGACAUCCACAGAAGAGACCAGAGAUGGACUUGUGCCUUCGGGAACUGUGAGACAGGUGCUGCAUGGCUGUCGUCAGCUCGUGUUGUGAAAUGUUGGGUUAAGUCCCGCAACGAGCGCAACCCCUAUCCUUAUUUGCCAGCACGUAAUGGUGGGAACUCUAGGGAGACUGCCGGUGAUAAACCGGAGGAAGGUGGGGACGACGUCAAGUCAUCAUGGCCCUUACGAGUAGGGCUACACACGCGCUACAAUGGCGAGUACAGAGGGUUGCAAAGCCGCGAGGUGGAGCUAAUCUCACAAAGCUCGUCGUAGUCCGGAUUGGAGUCUGCAACUCGACUCCAUGAAGUCGGAAUCGCUAGUAAUCGUGGAUCAGAAUGCCACGGUGAAUACGUUCCCGGGCCUUGUACACACCGCCCGUCACACCAUGGGAGUGGGCUGCAAAAGAAGUGGGUAGCUUAACCUUCGGGGGGGCGCUCACCACUUUGUGGUUCAUGACUGGGGUGAAGUCGUAACAAGGUAACCA
rnacentral:rRNA from 1 species